CGAUGACAUUACCUAUAGUUGUAGGCUUGUGCCUGCGUAUCUGCUUACCCAUGAUCUGUUUGAGUACCUUCGUUUCCUCGGCGGGUCCGCCCGCCGAUUGGACACAUUUAAACCCUUUGUAGUUGCAAUCAGCGUCUGAAAAACUUUAAUAGUUACAACUUUCAACAACGGAUCUCUUGGUUCUGGCAUCGAUGAAGAACGCAGCGAAAUGCGAUAAGUAGUGUGAAUUGCAGAAUUCAGUGAAUCAUCGAAUCUUUGAACGCACAUUGCGCCCCUUGGUAUUCCAUGGGGCAUGCCUGUUCGAGCGUCAUUUGUACCUUCAAGCUUUGCUUGGUGUUGGGUGUUUGUCUCGCCUCUGCGCGCAGACUCGCCUCAAAACAAUUGGCAGCCGGCGUAUUGAUUUCGGAGCGCAGUACAUCUCGCGCUUUGCACUCAUAACGACGACGUCCAAAAAGUACAUUUUUUACACUCUUGACCUCGGAUCAGGUAGGGAUACCCGCUGAACUUAAGCAUAUCAAUAAGCGGAGGAAAAGCAACCAACAC
rnacentral:rRNA from 1 species